rfam:Ictidomys tridecemlineatus contig027454, whole genome shotgun sequence.
GGGACUGUGGUUCAGCGGUAGAACACUUGCCUAGCAUGUGCAAGGACCUGAGUUCAAUCCUCAGCACCA